CUGCUCUUGAACUCCUGGGUUUAAGGGAUCUUCCCACCUUGGCCUUCCAAAGUAUUAAUACUGGAAUUACAGACAUGAGCCACCAUGCCUGCCUAGUCUUCAUUCUUCACAGGAGGGAGAAUUCUCUAGGCUGGUUGAAAGUUUGUCAAGAUUUCUGAGGAGCCCCCCACUCCCCACAAACCCGGGCAUCAGAAAAGAAAUGGAUCAGAUGCUUCAGAGAAGAAAUAAUUUUGUAGGAAGUCAGGAGACCUAAGUUUAGUCUACUAAGACCCUUCCUUGUGUCCUUGGAUCACUGGCCUGAGUCCAGAGAAUUCUGAGCCCUGCAGCCCUUUCUGCCUGGAGGGGAACCGAGCAGGGAGGGAGCUGCACCAAACAUGCGCCCUCUGCUCCUUAGAGGCCUGAUGCUCCCUUCAGUUUACUCUGGCUUGACAGCUCCAUUUCAACCCCCACCUUGGAGAUGAGGCAGCUCAAUAUUUACUCAGCCAGAGAGGUUUGUCCAGAAGCCUGCCUCCCCAGCCUCCUCCUGUUGGCUCUGCUCUGUUGCCCCCACCCCCUUCCUUCCCGGUUCAUAGAGAGUUCAGCCCUGCAAUGGCUUGCAGCCCCCUCCACUCCCCAGCCCUGACAGAGCCGCCUGUCGGGGGACUGCUGAGGCCAGAAGAGCGGGGGAAGGGCACCAGUCAGUCGUGGGGUCAUGUCCUGGUCUCUCCACCCUUACUGGACCAGCAGCCUAGGCCUCUAGAAGAAGAGAAGACUCAGCAAAUGAUUGUCUUUUGGGGGAAGAGUGCGUGGAGAUUGGCUAAAAUGGAACUGUGGGGUUGGGGACAUGAUCCAGGACUGUAAAAGCUUCACAUAGCUGUGUGCAAUAUUAUAAACCAUGGUUUAUGGUAGAGAAACUUGGUAAAUUUGUAACAGUCUGAACUCUUUCCAAAGACACGAAAAGAGCUAAUACAAUAAAUAAGUGACACUUGGGUUUUCAGCAACACAUCUGAAAACUGAUCUCUUAUCUCCUAACAUUCUAGAAUGUAAGAUCCAUGAAGACAGGACUUUUUUUUUUUUUUUUCCUUAGAGACAAAGUCUCGCUAUGUUGUCCAGGCUAGACUUGAACUCCUGGGCUCAAGCCAUCCUCUGGCCUUAGCCUGCUGAGUAGCUGGGACUGUACAGGUGUAUGCCUACUGCACCCGGCUAAGCAGGGAUUUUUGUUUGUUUUGUUCCUUGU
rnacentral:lncRNA from 10 species